GGCCCAGUCGCGGAUGGUCCGCACCUGCUCUGCAUAUACGAGCUGUUUUGAGCAUGCAGGGAUCGCUCGUUCGACUCGAGCCUGGGCCG